GAUCCUGGCUCGGGACGAACGCUGGCGGCGUGCUUAACACAUGCAAGUCGAACGAGAAUCUAUUGAAGGAGUUUUCGGACAACGGAUAUAGAGGACAGUGGCGGACGGGUGAGUAACGCGUGAGGAACCUGCCUUUCAGAGGGGGACAACAGUUGGAAACGACUGCUAAUACCGCAUAACAUAUAGAUGUCGCAUGGCAUUUAUAUCAAAGAUUUAUCGCUGAAAGAUGGCCUCGCG
rnacentral:rRNA from 1 species